rnacentral:rRNA from 1 species
AUGGUGUUCUACUUCAAGGCGCGGCCCGACGCCGGUGACUACACCAUCUUCAUGGGGCUCGACAAGCAUGAGAACGAGGACCUCAUCAAGUACGGCUUCCCCGAGGACAUCUGGUUCCAUGUAGAUAAGAUGUCCUCUGCUCAUGUAUAUGUGAGACUGAAUAAAGGUCAAACAAUGGAUGACAUAAGCGAAGGUUUGCUGGAAGAUUGUGCCCAGCUUGUUAAAGCGAACUCCAUUCAAGGUAAUAAGGUGAAUAACGUUGAUGUGGUUUACACACCAUGGUACAAUCUGAAGAAGACACCAUCCAUGGAUGUGGGUCAAGUUGGCUUUCACAACUCUAAAUUGGUUCGAACUGUUCAAGUAGAAAAGCGAAUCAAUGAGGUUGUCAAUCGGUUGAACAAGACAAAGGUGGAGAGGACGCCUGACUUAAAGGCUGAAAGAGAAGCUGUGAGUGCUGCCGAAAAGGCUGAGAGAAAGUUGCAGCUUAGAGACAAAAAACGUAAAGAAGAGAUGGAGAGGCUCGAGAAGGAGAAGCAGGCUGAAAUAAGGAGUUACAAGGGCCUGAUGGUCCAAGACAAGAUGACUUCGAACAAGCAGGUUGCAUCUGGUAGCAAGACCCUGCAGGAACUAGAGGAGGAUUUCAUGUGA